rnacentral:rRNA from 1 species
GACGAACGCUGGCGGCGUGCUUAACACAUGCAAGUCGAGCGGUAAGGCCCUUUCGGGGGUACACGAGCGGCGAACGGGUGAGUAACACGUGGGUGACCUGCCCUCAGCUCUGGGAUAAGCCCGGGAAACUGGGUCUAAUACCGGAUAUGACUCCAUGACGCAUGUUGUGGGGUGGAAAGCCUUGUGCGGCUGAGGAUGGGCCCGCGGCCUAUCAGCUCGUUGGUGGGGUGAUGGCCUACCAAGGCGACGACGGGUAGCCGGCCUGAGAGGGCGACCGGCCACACUGGGACUGAGACACGGCCCAGACUCCUACGGGAGGCAGCAGGUGGGGAAUCUUGCGCAAUGGGCGAAAGCCUGACGCAGCGACGCCGCGUGA